ACGAACGCUGGCGGCGUGCCUAAUACAUGCAAGUAGAACGCACAGUUUAUACCGUAGCUUGCUACACCAUAGACUGUGAGUUGCGAACGGGUGAGUAACGCGUAGGUAACCUGCCUGGUAGCGGGGGAUAACUAUUGGAAACGAUAGCUAAUACCGCAUAAUAUUGAUUAUUGCAUGAUAAUUAAUUGAAAGGUGCAAUUGCACCACUACCAGAUGGACCUGCGUUGUAUUAGCUAGUAGGUGAGGUAACGGCUCACCUAGGCGACGAUACAUAGCCGACCUGAGAGGGUGAUCGGCCACACUGGGACUGAGACACGGCCCAGACUCCUACGGGAGGCAGCAGUAGGGAAUCUUCGGCAAUGGACGAAAGUCUGACCGAGCAACGCCGCGUGAGUGAAGAAGGUUUUCGGAUCGUAAAGCUCUGUUGUAAGAGAAGAACGGGUGUGAGAGUGGAAAGUUCACACUGUGACGGUAUCUUACCAGAAGGGACGGCUAACUACGUG
rnacentral:rRNA from 1 species